UACGGGGGGGGCAAGCGUUGUUCGGAAUUACUGGGCGUAAAGGGCUCGUAGGCGGCCAACUAAGUCAGACGUGAAAUCCCUCGGCUUAACCGGGGAACUGCGUCUGAUACUGGUUGGCUUGAGUUUGGGAGAGGGAUGCGGAAUUCCAGGUGUAGCGGUGAAAUGCGUAGAUAUCUGGAGGAACACCGGUGGCGAAGGCGGCAUCCUGGACCAGCACUGACGCUGAGGAGCGAAAGCCAGGGGAGCAAACGGG
rnacentral:rRNA from 1 species